ensembl:lncRNA
AUGAGGGUACCGAUAGUGACAAAUCAAAAUAUUUUCCAUUUCGAAGACUACAAUUCUGUGGAAUCAGAUGAGGACAUUUCCAGCCAGAGAUACCAGGAGCAUGCUGCCUGCAGUCAAGACUACAAUUCUGUGGAAUCAGAUGAGGACAUUUCCAGCCAGAGAUACCAGGAGCAUGCUGCCUGCAGUCAAGACUACAAUUCUGUGGAAUCAGAUGAGGACAUUUCCAGCCAGAGAUACCAGGAGCAUGCUGCCUGCAGUCAAGACUACAAUUCUGUGGAAUCAGAUGAGGACAUUUCCAGCCAGAGAUACCAGGAGCAUGCUGCCUGCAGUCAAGACUACAAUUCUGUGGAAUCAGAUGAGGACAUUUCCAGCGAGAGAUACCAGGAGCAUGCAGCCUGCAGUCAGGGUGAGCUGAUCUGAGCAGUUUUGUUAACAGCACCCAUUAAAAUAUGUCUAUGGCUCUUUGGCUUUGCUGUGGUCGUUGGUACUUGGGUAGUUUUUAAAGGCCAUUAAUCUUUGAUUGCCCUUUUAAUAUUUUUGGAAUGCCUCAGCAUUCUUGAGCAUGGGUGGACUUUUCACACAUUUAAAGCAUUUCAUGCAAAUUCAACUAUUGUAACGUUUUCUGAAAGAAGAACAUUAUGACAGUCCUUGUUAAAGAAUAGAAACACACUAUGCACAAAAUCAAUGAUUACCAUGCCAAAACUUUGGAAAAAGCAGCACCUUCUAGUGUUUAAAUUUGGAUUCUGUUGUAAUCAAGGCAAUGGGCUAACCCACUGAUGAACAAACACCAACAAGGCAGUCCUAAAGUAAAGCACUUAUUCGUACAUGGAAUAACAGAUGCUUCUCUUUGUAGUCAUCGAGGGAGUCUCCUUCAAAUGAAACUAAAUACAGACCAGUUAGACACUGAGAAGUCAGUCAGCAAACAUUUACCCCAACUUGAUAGCACUUUCUGCUUUGGUUGAAAAGAAAGAUGCUAAAGUUAGAGUAGACAUCAGCUGCUUUUCACUCUAGGAGGCAAGGAUUUGAAAAGUUGGCCACAGAGGAGGAUGCAUAAUUGUGUCCAAUUUUUUCAAUUUAAUUCAGCAUUUACAGUUACAAGUUUGGACAUAUAUCUGCAAAAUAAGAAAUACAAAUUAAAUAAAUAAAAAAUCACAAGAUUGGAAACUAUAAGAAAUAGAACAUAGGUGAAGCUUUGGUUGCUCUUCAUUUCCUCAUUACUACUACCCCAAAGAGAAGCACUUAUUAAAAUAGGACUAAUCAAUGCUCCCAUUUGAAGUAAUCUUAAUGGGAUGGAUACUGUGAUUAUCUGAUCAUUGCAUUUAGAACUCAGUUUGGCGUCCCAGAAAAUGAAUUAUGUCCUGAAGCACUCGUCACUUGAAACUACCCCAACAAAUAGCACUUACCUAUUACAACAGACAAGUCAGUGCCAUUAUGAGGGUACCGAUAGUGACAAAUCAAAAUAUUUUCCAAUUUCAAGGACUACAAUUCUGUGGAAUCAGAUGAGGACAUUUCCAGCCAGAGAUACCAGGAGCAUGCUGCCUGCAGUCAAGGUGAGCUGAUCUGAGCAGUUUUGUUAACAGCAACCCAUUAUAAAUAUGUCUAUGGCUCUUUGGCUUUGCUGUGGUCGUUGGUACUUGGGUAGUUUUGAAAGGCCAUUAAUCUUUGAUUGCCCUUUUAAUAUCUUUGGAAUGCCUCAGCAUUCUUGAGCAUGGGUGGACUUUUCACACAUUUAAAGCAUUUCAUGCAAAUUCAACUAUUAUAACGUUUUCUGAAAGAAGAACAUUAUGACAGUCCUUGUUAAAGCAUAGAAACACACUAUGCACAAAAUCAA